rnacentral:rRNA from 1 species
AUGCUCAACUCAGACAGUGCUGACGUUGUUUUAUAUUCUCUACGUCAGAAGUAUCGAGACACUGACAAGUUGAUAGUUCCCAGAUGGGUGACGACCAAGAUCCAUGAUGGAAAUAUUGAUUCCAAUGUGCUAAAUUGGUUCACGAGAUCAGAGAGCCCCACUACACCCAAGAAUCCCAUUGUGGAAUUGGUAGACAGCGAUGAUGAUGUGUUUGACAAGAUUGCUGGCGUGGGAAGAGUCACGAGGAGCGCUGCUGCCAAAGGUUUAUCUCCCCUUGCUGGAAUAGUGGCUCGUAGAACUGGUGGUGCUAGGAAGGAUCCUGCUUUGGAUUCUGGCAAUGUUGUCAGCACGAAGCGUGCGCCCAGAGCUCCUAUAAAGUUUUGCUCCCCUGUGCAGCAGCUUCACCCUCAUAAAUUCCCUCACCUGGACACGGCUCGCAAGUUGUAUAAUCUGUUGCUUAGUGAUGAAUGGCGUGAGAAGAAUACAUUCUCAAUGAUACCUCAGCCUGAUGAAAGCGUAACUAGCUUCACUGGGAGACGCAUCUGGGAAGUUUUUUCACCUGGGCAAAUGAUGGAGGGUGAUGUAAUGGACUUCCUCAUUGAUGAUUGGAAGCAAGAUCCCGAGAGAAAUACUGAUUUCGCAUCUGGGAAAAGGGUAUUGCUGAGUCCAUAUUUCAUCACGAUCAUGAUGCCUCUAUUCAAGCCUAUGAUUUUAGCAAAGGAUAAGAAAGUGAACCACUUUUCCUUAUAUUUCAUGAAUCGGUACCGAAGUAGCGUUGACAUCCUUGACUCUUUACCUUCUCCGAAGAACCACCGUCCUUCAAAGAACACCUAUCAUAAAGACUGCGAGAAGAUUAUUUCUAGAUUGGUCCAAGUAAUGAAGGCUGUGUAUGGUGAUGCUCAGUACAAUGCGAGCAAGCAGCCCAAUUGGGAGCUGUUUGCAAAGAAACCAACGUUUGUCAAGGUUCCACUUCAAGGGCCGAAUGAAUGUGGCCAUUAUACUCUGAAGUAUGCGGGAUCCUAUGAUGGUGAAAAGAUUGUUGAGAACAUUCGAGAUAAUGACAUGGCCACGUAUUGUUGA